rnacentral:rRNA from 1 species
GAUGAACGCUGGCGGCGUGCCUAAUACAUGCAAGUCGAGCGAACAGACGAGGAGCUUGCUCCUCGGACGUUAGCGGCGGACGUGUGAGAAACACGUGGAUAACCUACCUAUAAGACUGGGAUAACUUCGGGAAACCGGAGCUAAUACCGGAUAAGAUAUUGAUCCGUAUGGUUCAAUAGUGAAAGACGGUUUUGCGGGCACUUAUCGCUGGAUCCGCGCCGCAUUAGCUAGUUGUGAAGUUAACAGCUUACGAAGGCAAGGAUGCGUAACCGACGGGAGAGGGUGGUAGGCCACCCGGGAGGUGGGACACGGUCAAGACGACUACGGGAGGCAGCAGUAGGGAAUCGUACGCAGUGGGCGGGAGCCUUACGGAGCAAGGCCGAGUCAGUGAUGAAGGUCUCCGGAGCGUAAAACUCGGUUAUUAGGGAAGAACAAAUGUGUAAGUAGCUAUGCACGUCUUGACGGUACCUAAUAAGAAAGCAACGGCUAACUACGUG